rnacentral:miRNA from 1 species
CUUGAGUUACGGACUGGGGUUGG